GAUUGCUAUGAACUGAGAGUAGAGAAACGGUACGUACCUUGCAGGCAGAUCCCAUCAUGUAGUAGGACUUAGCAAAUGUUGAUUCCUUUGUUUUCUUGUUUUCCCACUUCUCCCCUCUGAAGAAAUAGUUGCUCCAUAGAAAAUCCUCCACAGUACUGAAAUGAGGCUGCCUCACCAUUGGGGAUAGUGAAAAGGACAAUUUCCUUUGAACACACUCAUUUUCUGAUUGAAGAGAAUACAGAGAAUGUGGAUUUUCCUGGUGCCAAGUUGUUCUUCCAUUCCUCGGCCAAGUUUCCAUUCUGAUUAACUCAAGAUUCACUUGGAACCCUUUCCUUGCUAUGGCCAUUAAUCCUAAACUGCUUUAUCAGGAACUUGGCCCAAUCUGAGUUAGUUUCCUUCCUUGGAUACCUGCCUUAAACCAGAUCCUCAAACCUCAUAAAUAUCCCUCCUAGAAAAUAAGACUCUGUCAAGGGAGUAUUCUUUCUUAUUUCAGUAGGCAAUGAACUUGAUGCUGUUUUAUCAACAAGUUGAUUAAGUGAUGAUUAGGGUAUCAGUAAUCAACAUUGAUUUGAACCCUGGCUAGCUACAACACUUCCUAGCUGUGUGAUCUUGGGAAACAUUUCUGAGAUGGUUAAUACUGAGUGUC
rnacentral:lncRNA from 1 species